rnacentral:lncRNA from 1 species
GCCAAAAAUAGGCCGCGGGCAAAGCCGCGCCCAAAAUUAACCGCCCGAAGGCCGGGGCGCCAAGUUCGUCCAGUGGAAAAAGGCCACAAAAACGGGUGGGCUAUAGCCUUGGGGGGUGGGGCUGGCCAACUUCGUCCGCCGGACUCGGAAUGCCGCGAGACUUUGCGAGGGGUCUCCGUGUGCCAAAAAUAGUCCGUGGGCAAAGCCGUGCCCAAAAAUAACCGCCCGAAGGCCGGGGCGCCAAGUUCGUCCAUCGGAAAAAGGCCACAAAAACGGGUGGGCUAUAGCCUUGGGGGGUGGGGCUGGCCAACUUCGUCCGCCGGACUCGGAUUGCCACGAGACAUUGCGAGGGGCCUCCGUGUGCCAAAAAUAGGUCGCAGGCAAAGCCGCGCCCAAAAAUAACAGCCCAAAGACCUGGGCGCCAACUUCGUCCAGCAGAAAAAGGCCACAAAAACGGGUGGGCUAUAGCCUUGGGGGGUGGGUCUGGCCAACUUCGUCCGCCGGACUCAGAAUGCCGCGAGACUUUGCGAGGGGCCUCCGUGUGUCAAAAAUAGGCCGCGGGAAAAGCCGCGCCCAAAAAGAACCGCCCGACGGCUGGGGUACCAAGUUCGUCCAGCGGAAAAAGGCUACAAAAACGGGUGGGCUAUAGCCUUGGGGGGUGGGGCUGGCUAACUUCGUCCGCCGGACUUGGAAUGCCGCGAGACUUUGCGAGGGGCCUCCGUGUUCCAAAAAUAGGCCGCGGGCAAAGCCGUACCCAAAAUUAACCGCCCGAAGGCUGGGGCGCCAAGUUUGUCCAGCGGAAAAAGGCCACAAAAACGGGUGGGCUAUAGCCUUGGGGGGUGAUGCUGGCCAUCUUUGUCCGCCGGACUUGGAAUGCCACGAGACUUUGCGAGGGCCCUCCGUGUGCCAAAAAUAGGCCGUGGGCAAAGCCGCGCCCAAAAUUAACCGCCCGAAGGCCGGGGCGCCAAGUUCGUCCAGCGGAAAAGGCCACAAAAACGGGUGGGCUAUAGCCUUGGGGGGUGGGGCUAGCCAACUUCAUCCGCCGGACUCGGAAUGCCGUGAGACUUUAUGAGGGGCCUCCUUGUCCCAAACAUAGGCCGUGGGCAAAGCCGCGCCCAAAAAUAACCGCCCGAAGGCCGGGGCGGCAAGUUCGUCCAGCGGAAAAAGGCCACAAAAACGGGUGGGCUAUAGCCUUGGGGGGUGAUGCUGGCCCACUUCCUCCGCCGGACUCGGAAUGCUGCGAGACUUUGCGAGGGGCCUUCGUGUGCCAAAAAUAGGCCGCGGGCAAAGCCGCACCCAAAAAUAACCGCCCGACGGCUGGGGUGCCAAGUACGUCCAGCAGAAAAAGGCCACAAAAACGGGUGGGCUAUUGCCUUGGGGGGUGGGGUUGCCCAACUUCGUCCCCCGGACUCGGAAUGCCGCGAGACUUUGCGAGGGGCCUCCGUGUGCCAAAAAUAAGCCGCGGGUAAAGCCGCGCCCAAAAUUAACCGCCCGAAGGCUGGGGCGCCAAGUUCGUCCGGCGGAAAAAAGGCCACAAAAACGAGUGGGCUAUAGCCUUGGGGGGUGGGGCUGGCCAACUUCGUCCGCCGGGCUCGGAUUGCGACGAGACAUUGCGAGGGGCCUCCGUGUACCAAAAAUAAGUCGCGGGAAAAGCCGCACCCAAAAUAACAGCCCGAAAGCCUGGGCAACAAGUUCGUCCAGCGGAAAAAGGCCACAAAAACGGGUGGGCUAUAGCCUUGGGCAGUUGGGUCUGGCGAACUUCGUCUGCCGGACUCGGAUGCCGCGAGACUUUGCGAGGGGCCUCCGUGUGUCAAAAAUAGGCCGCGGGAAAAGCCGCGCCCAAAAAGAACCGCCCGACGGCUGGGGUACCAAGUUCGUCCAGCGGAAAAAGGCUACAAAAACGGGUGGGCUAUAGCCUUGGGGGGUGGGGCUGGCUAACUUCGUCCGCCGGACUUGGAAUGCCGCGAGACUUUGCGAGGGGCCUCCGUGUUCCAAAAAUAGGCCGCGGGCAAAGCCGUACCCAAAAUUAACCGCCCGAAGGCUGGGGCGCCAAGUUUGUCCAGCGGAAAAAGGCCACAAAAACGGGUGGGCUAUAGCCUUGGGGGGUGAUGCUGGCCAUCUUUGUCCGCCGGACUUGGAAUGCCACGAGACUUUGCGAGGGCCCUCCGUGUGCCAAAAAUAGGCCGUGGGCAAAGCCGCGCCCAAAAUUAACCGCCCGAAGGCCGGGGCGCCAAGUUCGUCCAGCGGAAAAGGCCACAAAAACGGGUGGGCUAUAGCCUUGGGGGGUGGGGCUAGCCAACUUCAUCCGCCGGACUCGGAAUGCCGUGAGACUUUAUGAGGGGCCUCCUUGUCCCAAACAUAGGCCGUGGGCAAAGCCGCGCCCAAAAAUAACCGCCCGAAGGCCGGGGCGGCAAGUUCGUCCAGCGGAAAAAGGCCACAAAAACGGGUGGGCUAUAGCCUUGGGGGGUGAUGCUGGCCCACUUCGUCCGCCGGACUCGGAAUGCUGCGAGACUUUGCGAGGGGCCUUCGUGUGCCAAAAAUAGGCCGCGGGCAAAGCCGCACCCAAAAAUAACCGCCCGACGGCUGGGGUGCCAAGUACGUCCAGCAGAAAAAGGCCACAAAAACGGGUGGGCUAUUGCCUUGGGGGGUGGGGUUGCCCAACUUCGUCCCCCGGACUCGGAAUGCCGCGAGACUUUGCGAGGGGCCUCCGUGUGCCAAAAAUAAGCUGCGGGUAAAGCCGCGCCCAAAAUUAACCGCCCGAAGGCUGGGGCGCCAAGUUCGUCCGGCGGAAAAAGGCCACAAAAACGAGUGGGCUAUAGCCUUGGGGGGUGGGGCUGGCCAACUUCGUCCGCCGGGCUCGGAUUGCGACGAGACAUUGCGAGGGGCCUCUGUGUACCAAAAAUAGGUCGCGGGAAAAGCCGCACCCAAAAAUAACAGCCCGAAGGCCUGGGCAACAAGUUCGUCCAGCGGAAAAAGGCCACAAAAACGGGUGGGCUAUAGCCUUGGGCGGUGGGUCUGGCGAACUUCGUCUGCCGGACUCGGAAUGCCGCGAGACUUUCCGAGGGGCCUCCGUGUGCCAAAAAUAGGCCGCGGGCAAAGCCGCGCCCAAAAAUAACCGCCCGACGGCUGGGGUGCCCAGUUCGUCCCGCGGAAAAAGGCCAUAAAAACGGGUGGGCUAUAGCCUUGGGGGGUGAUGAUUGCCAACUUCGUCCGCCGGACUCGGAAUGCCGCGAGACUUUGCGAGGGGCCUCCGUGUGCCAAAAAUAGGCCGCGGGCAAAGCCGUGCCCAAAAUUAACCGCCCGAAGGCCGGGGCGCCAAGUUCGUCCACCGGAAAAAGGCCACAAAAACGGGCGGGCUAUACCCUUGGGGGGUGAUGCUGGNNNNNNNNNNNNNNNNNNNNNNNNNNNNNNNNNNNNNNNNNNNNNNNNNNNNNNNNNNNNNNNNNNNNNNNNNNNNNNNNNNNNNNNNNNNNNNNNNNNNCCGCGUGCCAAAAAUAGGCCACGGACAAUGCCGCGUCCAAAAUUAACCGCCCGAAGGCCGGGGCGCCAAGUUCGUCCAGUGGAAAAAGGCCACAAAAACGGGUGGGCUAUAGCCUUGGGGGGUGGGGCUGGCCAACUUCGUCCGCCGGACUCGGAAUGCCGCGAGACUUUGCGAGGGGUCUCCGUGUGCCAAAAAUAGUCUGUGGGCAAAGCCGUGCACAAAAAUAACCGCCCGAAGGCCGGGGCGCCAAGUUCGUCCAUCGGAAAAAGGCCACAAAAACGGGUGGGCUAUAGCCUUGGGGGGUGGGGCUGGCCAACUUCGUCCGCCGGACUCGGAUUGCCACGAGACAUUGCGAGGGGCCUCCGUGUGCCAAAAAUAGGUCGCAGGCAAAGCCGCGCCCAAAAAUAACAGCCCAAAGACCUGGGCGCCAACUUCGUCCAGCAGAAAAAGGCCACAAAAACGGGUGGGCUAUAGCCUUGGGGGGUGGGUCUGGCCAACUUCGUCCGCCGGACUCGGAAUGCCGCGAGACUUUGCGAGGGGCCUCCGUGUGUCAAAAAUAGGCCGCGGGAAAAGCCGCGCCCAAAAAGAACCGCCCGACGGCUGGGGUACCAAGUUCGUCCAGCGGAAAAAGGCUACAAAAACGGGUGGGCUAUAGCCUUGGGGGGUGGGGCUGGCUAACUUCGUCCGCCGGACUUGGAAUGCCGCGAGACUUUGCGAGGGGCCUCCGUGUUCCAAAAAUAGGCCGCGGGCAAAGCCGUACCCAAAAUUAACCGCCCGAAGGCUGGGGCGCCAAGUUUGUCCAGCGGAAAAAGGCCACAAAAACGGGUGGGCUAUAGCCUUGGGGGGUGAUGCUGGCCAUCUUUGUCCGCCGGACUUGGAAUGCCACGAGACUUUGCGAGGGCCCUCCGUGUGCCAAAAAUAGGCCGUGGGCAAAGCCGCGCCCAAAAUUAACCGCCCGAAGGCCGGGGCGCCAAGUUCGUCCAGCGGAAAAGGCCACAAAAACGGGUGGGCUAUAGCCUUGGGGGGUGGGGCUAGCCAACUUCAUCCGCCGGACUCGGAAUGCCGUGAGACUUUAUGAGGGGCCUCCUUGUCCCAAACAUAGGCCGUGGGCAAAGCCGCGCCCAAAAAUAACCGCCCGAAGGCCGGGGCGGCAAGUUCGUCCAGCGGAAAAAGGCCACAAAAACGGGUGGGCUAUAGCCUUGGGGGGUGAUGCUGGCCCACUUCGUCCGCCGGACUCGGAAUGCUGCGAGACUUUGCGAGGGGCCUUCGUGUGCCAAAAAUAGGCCGCGGGCAAAGCCGCACCCAAAAAUAACCGCCCGACGGCUGGGGUGCCAAGUACGUCCAGCAGAAAAAGGCCACAAAAACGGGUGGGCUAUUGCCUUGGGGGGUGGGGUUGCCCAACUUCGUCCCCCGGACUCGGAAUGCCGCGAGACUUUGCGAGGGGCCUCCGUGUGCCAAAAAUAAGCCGCGGGUAAAGCCGCGCCCAAAAUUAACCGCCCGAAGGCUGGGGCGCCAAGUUCGUCCGGCGGAAAAAGGCCACAAAAACGAGUGGGCUAUAGCCUUGGGGGGUGGGGCUGGCCAACUUCGUCCGCCGGGCUCGGAUUGCGACGAGACAUUGCGAGGGGCCUCCGUGUACCAAAAAUAGGUCGCGGGAAAAGCCGCACCCAAAAAUAACAGCCCGAAGGCCUGGGCAACAAGUUCGUCCAGCGGAAAAAGGCCACAAAAACGGGUGGGCUAUAGCCUUGGGCGGUGGGUCUGGCGAACUUCGUCUGCCGGACUCGGAAUGCCGCGAGACUUUCCGAGGGGCCUCCGUGUGCCAAAAAUAGGCCGCGGGCAAAGCCGCGCCCAAAAAUAACCGCCCGACGGCUGGGGUGCCCAGUUCGUCCCGCGGAAAAAGGCCACAAAAACGGGUGGGCUAUAGCCUUGGGGGUUGAUGAUUGCCAACUUCGUCCGCCGGACUCGGAAUGCCGCGAGACUUUGCGAGGGGCCUCCGUGUGCCAAAAAUAGGCCGCGGGCAAAGCCGUGCCCAAAAUUAACCGCCCGAAGGCCGGGGCGCCAAGUUCGUCCAGCGGAAAAAGGCCACAAAAACGGGUGGGCUAUAGCCUUGGGGGGUGAUGCUGGCCAACUUCGUCCGCCGGACUCGGAAUGCCGCGAGACUUUGCGAGGGGCCUCCGCGUGCCAAAAAUAGGCCACGGACAAUGCCGCGUCCAAAAUUAACCGCCCGAAGGCCGGGGCGCCAAGUUCGUCCAGUGGAAAAAGGCCACAAAAACGGGUGGGCUAUAGCCUUGGGGGGUGGGGCUGGCCAACUUCGUCCGCCGGACUCGGAAUGCCGCGAGACUUUGCGAGGGGUCUCCGUGUACCAAAAAUAGUCUGUGGGCAAAGCCGUGCACAAAAAUAACCGCCCGAAGGCCGGGGCGCCAAGUUCGUCCAUCGGAAAAAGGCCACAAAAACGGGUGGGCUAUAGCCUUGGGGGGUGGGGCUGGCCAACUUCGUCCGCCGGACUCGGAUUGCCACGAGACAUUGCGAGGGGCCUCCGUGUGCCAAAAAUAGGUCACAGGCAAAGCCGCGCCCAAAAAUAACAGCCCAAAGACCUGGGCGCCAACUUCGUCCAGCAGAAAAAGGCCACAAAAACGGGUGGGCUAUAGCCUUGGGGGGUGGGUCUGGCCA